GGAUAACUUUGGUCUGUUUAGUUACUUUCUGCUCAUGACUUUUUGGCUGAUUCCAUUCAUAAAGCAUAUGCUUUUUGGUAAUGUUGCUGGUGAAUCAUUUUGGGAGAGGACGUUACUAGUACAAAGUUCAGCCAAGAUGUAACCAAGUGACCAGAUAUCAAUCUUCUUAUCAUAUGGAAGCCCCAAAAUCCCCUCAGGAGCAUGAUAGGACCUUGACUGAACAUAAGAGGGAAGAAUAGGAGCAUCAAUAGACAUCACAAGAAUGUCUUAUCUUCCGGACCACAAACGCUGCACUUAUCCCGUCCCUUUU